UGUUGAAACACUAAUUCCCGUACGAUCAAUAAAGUUAAGCAACGUCGAGCCUGGUCUUUACCUAGAUAGGUGACCGCUUGGAAAUACCAGGUGCUGUG